rnacentral:rRNA from 1 species
AACGCUGGCGGCGUGCCUAAUACAUGCAAGUCGAACGGUCUUUCUAUGGAAGCUUGCUUCCACUGAGAAGAUAGUGGCGAACGGGUGAGUAACAACGUGGGUAACCUGCCCAUAAGAGGGGGAUAACAUCCGGAAACGGGUGCUAAUACCGCAUAGUUUUCUUGAUCGCAUGAUCGGGAAAGGAAAGACGGCCUUUGUGCUGUCGCUUAUGGAUGGACCCGCGGCGUAUUAGUUAGUUGGUGAGGUAACGGCUCACCAAGACGAUGAUACGUAGCCGACCUGAGAGGGUGAUCGGCCACAUUGGGACUGAGACACGGCCCAAACUCCUACGGGAGGCAGCAGUAGGGAAUCUUCCGCAAUGGACGAAAGUCUGACGGAGCAACGCCGCGUGAGUGAAGAAAAGGUUUUCGGAUCGUAAAACUCUGUUGUCAGAGAAGAACAAGUUGGAGAGUAACUGCUCCAGCCUUGACGGUAUCUGACCAGAAAGCCACGGCUAACUACGUGCCAGCCGCCGC